UUUAGUCCUACUCACCCACAUGCGCCACCAGUUGUGAUUAGCAGCCAGCGAAGUAAGAUCUAGCUAAUGUAUUCCAGGAAUCUAAUUCCUGACCUUCUCUGAUGUCACUUCUCGCUACUGUUUUUAUAAUUUCUCGUCCUCAGGUACUAAACGCGAGCCCUAAUCAUGGCGACCUAGAAUGGGGCACGCAGCAGAGGCAAACUUGUGUGGCUGGGUCUCAGCUCGAUGGAGGAGGGCCAUCAAUGGGAGGGCAGCGUUCAACCCAAAAUUUGCUUGCCGAAGGGGAGGUUGAUGUACA
rnacentral:lncRNA from 1 species